GCGGCCUCACAAACCAUUGUCACCCUAAAGCUCUCGAAGAAGCCAUUUCUGCCACUUUAUGUUCCAUCUCAUUACCCUCCCUUGGAGUCCAAAUUUUUAAAAAGAAUCAUGGCAUCCCUCAUGGCAUGAGCUUCAGCAGCUAAUGGAGAUAUUGUUUUGAAGUUCAUUGUUGAUCCAGAUAUAACCUUACCAUCACAAUUCCUUAUCACUGCUGUCGAUGCUGCUUGACC